CAAAUGAUGAAACUAAUUGGUCCGUGUUUAUGAUAUUAGUUGAUUAGCUAUUCCAAUUACUGAUGUAU